rnacentral:rRNA from 1 species
AUACGGAGGGUGCAAGCGUUACUCGGAAUCACUGGGCGUAAAGGACGCGUAGGCGGGUUGUCAAGUCUGAUGUGAAAUCCUAUGGCUCAACCAUAGAACUGCAUUGGAAACUGGCAACCUAGAGUAUGGGAGGGGGAGAUGGAAUUAGUGGUGUAGGGGUAAAAUCCGUAGAUAUCACUAGGAAUACCGAAAGCGAAGGCGAUCUCCUGGAACAUAACUGACGCUAAGGCGUGAAAGCGUGGGGAGCAAACGGGAUUAGAAACCCCAGUAGUCC